UAAAGUUUAUCUUUUUAUCUCAGAGGACCAAUCAUUGCUCAGAGGACGUGAAUAAUUACAACUUAGCAUUGAUAAGUCACGACAUGAACAAACUCAGUUGUUAUAAAAGAUAAGCAGUUCGUUAUAUCCCAACACAGACGUUCAUAAACGUACGUACAUAGAACAUGAUGAUAUAAUUUACUUCACGUGGGACGAUGGGUCGCUCACCCACAAAAAUAUUUUCCGGAAAACCCAAGCUUCAUUCAUCCCCAUGGGAUUAAUAUAGCAUGGUCUUUGUCAGUGCAUCGCAUAUUUUCUGGAUGUUUGCGCUUUUGACAUUAAUCUUGUAGUAGCAUGCACAAUUAUGCCGCAUUGGACACAAACUCCAGCGGUAAACAAACACACGUGUGUAACACUUGUGUCAUUUUGAUCGUCCAAACUCUCAGACGCUUUGAUUUAACUCCAUAUAAGUAAAGCGUUUUUAUGAUCUCGAUAUGACGUAAAUUGCAAUAAACAUUUUAAUCUGAAAACAGCGCACACGAUGUUUUGUCAGUGAACACAUUAAACAAAACAAUCAAUUGGUCAUAUAUCUAUAAGCCAGAUCGUCAGAUUAUUCACAAAGGACAUCUGCAGGAGAAUUGAUCUCGUAGCAUUACAGUAGCCUAGUUAGUGCUGUUACUGAAACGUGCACAUCAUGUGUGUAGGCUACCUCACGAAAAGUGGGACCACGCACCAAAAGUUAACCGACCCAGUCAGACACAAGCUGAUCACCGAAGACCUCAUACUCGGGGCAUCAAUUAGAAUGUAAUUAGCGGCAGUCUACUGUACCGAACUCAUUGAAUUUUGUAAAUACCUGUGUACCUGAGGAGUGUCCAGUUCACCUGCUGACAUAGCGGUGUCCUGGGGCGUUAAUUAAUUAGUUACAUCGUUGUCAUGCCUGACUGCCUAUGAUUUGUUGCAUUGGCCAGUUUACCUGGGUAUCUCACCUGUGCACAAUAUUAUCGGUAUCAAGAAUAUAACCGAACAUAUGACACGUUAGUUUCUCUGUACAGACACUUAUGCAUGUGUGCAAUCAUGUGCACUGUGAAAGAGUACGAUGUUGCAGUAAUCAUAGUAAUAAUUAAAUAAAAAUAUAUAACAACAACUAAAAUAUAUAUAUAUAAUAAUAUCGAUAGGAUUUCUCAUGAUAUCGUAGGCGGCCUAAUAACUUUAUUCGACAUUUUUCUUCUUCGUUCACUUGGCCCUACUAUACACAUGUAUACCCACCGCCAGGCGGCGCUCCCUUCAGUUUAGCGGGAGAUUUGUAUUACAAGUGGCGGCCAUUUUGUUUGUUUACGGAAACGUGAUGAAAGCUUAGACCUAGAACAAAAUCACGUUAUAUAUACAGUACGGUAUAUAUUUGCGACAUUUAAUUUCCCCACUCACGGAAUACAAUCGACAAACUGGGAACAGAAUAUCAAAUUUCGUCUAGCUUUUGGCGACUUAUGAUACCCCUUUCACCGGCAAACACUGAAUUAUCGGACAUGAAAUCAGGGACUAAAUUCACCAGCAUUCAUGAUCCUCGGACCACCCGCCCCCUACGCACAGCCGAUUUAUAAAUGUUGCAUCUUUCAAUCAGUGUCAAUCCCAAGAAGAACCCUGAUCAGCUCCUGGAAAAAUCAGUGUUCUUGCAGUAUUGUCAGUCAAAUCUCAAGGAAAGGAUCCCAGAAGAGGAACAUUUACAUUAUUUCAGACUUUUUUCUUUCCUGUGUAACAAUGCCUCAAACAGCUAACACAUUUUAUAUAGUAUACAAUACAAUGUGUAUUAAUAACAGUCCAGUUAGAGUGCUGUGUUAUGCAGUAAAAAUACUUAAUUCUUGAUGACAUGUUGGUUUUAUGUUUACAUUAAACGGUAGUUAUAAUAUAUACUAAAGAAACAUAGUGGAUAAUGCCUUGUACAGGAGCAGGAGUAUGACAGUGUAAUAGUACAUGACUGCUGCGUUCAUCCAUGGAAGGAGUCUGUUAUUCGAAAUAAAGCUUUCCAUGAGGACGAAAAAAA